GCACCUUUUCUGUAUGUUUCUUCCAUUAUUAAUUGCUUUAAAAAGUCUCAUAGGCCAGUGAAGUCUGUUAUUUUGUUUGUCUUCAGCUUAUCACUUCAGCUUACCUGAAAGUUUCCCUUCUGCUCUCUAACAGCAAUGCCUCACUACUAAGUACUUCUAUAUUAAUAUAUUUCUCUGUAAAAACAUUGGCUACUGUCGUGAACAUGAAAUGCCUGGACUGUAAUAUGAUUCAGUAUAGCAAUCUGUAUUACUUGGAGAAACGGAAAGGUAGGAAUGGAUGAGAGAGACAUUUCACCAAAUCUGAAACUCCAGGACAGUGAAGCCAAACCUGGGGUUAGCAAUAAUGGCAUCCCCAUCACCACUGCAGAGCCGUAAAGGCCUCAUGGAGGGAAGGCAUCAUUGCAAAUACAGAUAUAUAAAUCCCGCAGCUUGAGGAAAGUUAAUAUUUUCACAGACACGUCCUUUAUGUUUUACAGAAGUGGUUAUUCAAAAUGUUCAUACGUUUCAAAUGUAUGUGGAGGACUACAAAGAGGACUACAGCAGAGGACUACAAAGAUGAUGAGGGGACUGAAGCUUGUCUCCUAUGAAGCAAGGCUGAGAGAGCUGGGCCUGUUUAGCUUGGAGAAGAGAAGUCUGAGAGGCAAUCUCAUCAACGUGUACAAGGAUCUGAAGGGAGGGUGUCGAGAGGAUGGGUCCAGACUCUUCUCCGUGGUGCCCAGUGACAGGACAAGAGGCAACGGGCACAAAUUGAAACAUAGGCAUGUCAGUCUGAACCUGAGGAAAAACUUCUUUGCUGUGAG
rnacentral:lncRNA from 1 species